rnacentral:rRNA from 1 species
UACCAGCACCCCGAGUGGUGGGGACGUUUAUUGGGCCUAAAGCAUCCGUAGCCGGUUCUACAAGUCUUCCGUUAAAUCCAACUGCUUAACAGGUGGGCUGCGGAAGAUACUAUAGAGCUAGGAGGCGGGAGAGGCAAGCGGUACUCGAUGGGUAGGGGUAAAAUCCGUUGAUCCAUUGAAGACCACCAGUGGCGAAGGCGGCUUGCCAGAACGCGCUCGACGGUGAGGGAUGAAAGCUGGGGGAGCAAACCGG